GCUUUCCCUAAACCCCCAACCCUGGUGAAGUGCUGAAAAGCGAGGUACCCAGCCAAUGCCAAAGACAGUGCUGCACCACCUUGAGUUCCCCUGUGCACAGGAAAUGGGAAUUGGAGCAUGAGCACAAGAACUUUUGAAAAAAGCUGCAGAUAUUAUUUCCAGAACAGGGAGAGUGUUCCACACCUCAGAUUCAUCAACUGGUAAGGAGCAACACUCACGAGCAGCAUAGUUGACAAUGGAAGCUCCAGCUCACCUAUGACAAAGCAUAAACAUCUGAAUUCAGGCUGAAUGAGGGCACUUCAACUGAAGUUGUUUUCAGCAGGAAAAUGUUAAUGAUGAAUAGCCUUACAAUAUUGAACUUUUUAUUGUUACUCUACCUGGAAUGGAGAAGAACAAACGCACCAAAAGAGCAAGAAAAGCAGUCCACUGA